ensembl:lncRNA
CUUGAUCGGAAAGCAUGGUACUCGCACUCGUCUUCAUAAUUGCGUCUCCUCUGGUUUCAAGUUGGCCUUUGAAAGCAUCGUUGGCCCCGUCCACACGAAGCCGAUUUCAUGGCGAAACCGCAAAGGUCUUGUACGGUUCGGCCUUCCGUCCACACGAAGCCGGCGAAUCCGCUGACCGAAACCGCAAACUUCUGAAACCACCCUCGGAGGUGGUUUCAAAUCAAUCCGGUUUCGUUUUGGUUUCGUGUGGACGCCUGAAACCGACUGAAACCGUAAACCAUGACGUCAUCGCCCCACCCCUCGACCUCCUAGCCAAUGGCUCUUAAGCCCGCGGAGUCUCAGAAAUCAUAACAAAAAAGAUGAUGGCGGACUACAAGCUUGUAAUCGUUCUGCAGCAUAUCAUGUCCCUUGUUGGGUUGCUAAGCCAUUAUUUAUUGAGAAUCUAGUUCGCCAUCGUAGAAGAGCUGUUUGUUUGUGUUGUUAGUGGUUCGGGGGGGGCAGCCUUUAUGCGCAUGCUCGCCUCUUCUUCUUUUGGAUUUGUGUACCAGAAGCAGCGCCCCUUAUGGGCCUGGAAUGUUUACUACAGCGUUUCUAUAGAUCUAUCCGGUUUCGCUUGGCUUCGUCUUUACGGAGAUACUUCGAAACCGGAUAGAUCGAAACCGUAACGGUUUCGCCCGUUUCGGCUUCGUGGACGGGGCC